rnacentral:lncRNA from 1 species
UAGGGAGACAAAUUGGAGUGAUAUCCAACUAAUCAGAAGCUGGAUGUAGCUGAAGGACUUCUUGUUCUAAUUUAUCUGGCUGUGUCUUCACUGAGCGGAAGAAGAUAUGGUGGUUGAAGUUACAAGGACUCCUUGUUGUAACCAGGAGCCGAUCUUGAUCAAUGGAGCUACAUAAAGCAUGUUGAAAUGCAAAGAAAGAUAGAAGGAGCCUGUGGUACUGAAAACAUUGAGGAUUCUCUGAACCAGCCUUGGCUACCCCACCAUUUAACUUGAGAAAAA